rnacentral:rRNA from 1 species
CCAAUAGCGUAUAUUAAAGUUGUUGCAGUUAAAAAGCUCGUAGUUGAAUUUCGGGAUCAAUAUAUCGGUCGUGCCAUUGGUACGUACUGGUAUCAUUGGUUUCUCCUUUCUGACGAACCAUGAUGUCAUUAAUUUGGUGUUAUGGGAAGUUAGGACUGUUACUUUGAAAAAAUUAGAGUGUUUAAAGCAGGCUUUAGCUUGAAUACAUUAGCAUGGAAUAAUGAAAUAGGACGUUCGAACCUAUUUUGUUGGUUUCUAGGAUCAACGUAAUGAUUAAUAGGGAUAGUUGGGGGCAUUAGUAUUCAAUUGUCAGAGGUGAAAUUCUUGGAUUUAUUGAAGACUAACUACUGCGAAAGCAUUUGCCAAGGAUGUUUUCAUUAAUCAAGAACGAAAGUUAGGGGAUCGAAGACGAUCAGAUACCGUCGUAGCCUUAACCAUAAACUAUGCCGACUAGGGAUCGGAUGAUGUUAAUUUUUUAAUGACUCAUUCGGCGCCUUACG